rnacentral:rRNA from 1 species
UAGGGAAUCUUCGGCAAUGGACGAAAGUCUGACCGAGCAACGCCGCGUGAGUGAAGAAGGUUUUCGGAUCGUAAAACUCUGUUGUUAGAGAAGAACCAGGACGUUAGUAACUGAACGUCCCCUGACGGUAUCUAACCAGAAAGCCACGGCUAACUACGUGCCAGCAGCCGCGGUAAUACGUAGGUGGCAAGCGUUGUCCGGAUUUAUUGGGCGUAAAGCGAGCGCAGGCGGUUUCUUAAGUCUGAUGUGAAAGCCCCCGGCUCAACCGGGGAGGGUCAUUGGAAACUGGGAGACUUGAGUGCAGAAGAGGAGAGUGGAAUUCCAUGUGUAGCGGUGAAAGGCGUAGAUAUAUGGAGGAACACCAGUGGCGAAGGCGGCUCUCUGGUCUGUAACUGACGCUGAGGCUCGAAAGCGUGGGGAGCAAACAGG